AUUGGCCGAGUUUUAUGUAUGUCAGCUGGAGGAAAACAAAACCCCAAAAGUGUGUGUGAAAGGAAUUGCAUAGAACUCUACAGCGACAAGGUCUACCCUAAAAAAGUUUAGGCAGACUUCAAUUGGACAAAAAAUGAUUAGAACGGGAAUUUGAAAAAUAUUUAAUUCUCUUGUAUUGUUGGACAUACAAAACGGCGAUGAACACGUUAAGUGGCCACAUUCCUCCCACAUCUCCGACAGGUGUGGUUUCUGCGCUGGCCUAUGUAAAGCACUCUUUCGGCGCGUGCUUGCCGUUACGGAAGAACGAAAGGAACAAAUCAGGUGCACCCUGACGAUGCCAAAUUUCUCCAUUGCCUUGCUAGUGCAAUCUAACUACAUUACAUGUUACAAACGCCGCCGAACCCUUAUACACCAUCUAAUUAUUUCCGAAAGCUGCUUUCAGAUUUGGCCUAGCGCGGAAGAAGUUGACAUCCAAGUGGAUCCAGAGACAGUACACGAGGACGCGGACGAUGAGCGAUCAGAUAUCGAAAACGCUGUGGAAGACGCUGAUGAAUUAAACAUUUUCCUUUGGAACCAAAAACCGAAAUGCGCAUCAAGGGAGAGAAUGGGAAGAUUUACGUUAUUAGCGGGAUGGGAGAGGAAAAAGUUGAAAUGGGUGAUUUGCAGAGCGUUUUCGUCGAUUUAUGGAUCCGGAUCGCAACAUGAAACAAAAUAGUUCAAAGGGAGAAAAGGAAUCUGCUGGUUUGCCGCUAAAGAAGGAUCGUUCAUUACCCAUUCGGAAUCGAUGUUCAUAUUGUAAUAGAGUUUGCGGACAAGUACCUGAUGACGACGCACAUUCGAUGGCACACGAUUACAGGUAAAAAGCCCUUCAAAUGUGUCCCCACUGUUCGAAAACAUUCACUCAAUCGAUAACGCUGAAGAUACACGUCAGGUUUCACACCCGGGAAAAAAAAAAAGAAAAAAAAAACAUGAGAAUUUGCAUGCCACCGGGAAACUGUUCUAUUGUCGCGAUUGUGGUAAAAAGUAUAACACAUAUGUGUCCAAACGCAAGGUUUCUAAUACAAACGUAAAGGAAAAGAUGUACUCGUGUAAAAUAUACAGCCAAACAUUCAAGCAUCAGCAAAGCAGGGUGUACCACAUGAGCAACAAAACCAAACACAAACGGUUCGACAGAGGUUUUGAGAGAUCUGAAGACGGACGAAGGAGAGGGGAUUUGACGAAGCUAAAAUAACUUUCUCGUUCCCAAAUUGUUAAAGCUACCAAGCACAACACCGGACUACUUGAGCAAUUUGUCCUGAGCAUGUUUUUGGCAAGUGGUGAGGAUAGUGUAUCCGUUUAUUGGGUAGUAUUUGGCGCACCAACAUUAGUAGCGUAAAUAUCCAGCGCCAGACGCAGGUUCCGUUUGAUGGAUUCGAUGGAAUCGCUAUCGACAGACUCUUCAUCAUCUCGACUUCCAUGAGCUCAUUCAGUACUUUAUGAUAAAAUAACAAUAGUCUAGACAGGCUACGGUCCGACCCGGAUGUAGAAUUCAACUAGAUACAUUCGACAAUAAUACCACGCAAGACUGGCAGUAUACUCGACUGCUGUAUGCUUUUCAAGAGCAGCUGAUUUUUGGUGAACUAUCGGAAAGGAUUCAAACGAAAUGGCAUUUGCUUACAUUUCAGCAUGUAUCAAACAAUUGAAUUCAAAUAGUUUGUACCUUUCCGAAUUAUUUGAGGCAUGAUUUUCCUGGAAAGACA